AAAUUCUCCAAAAAAAAAAUAAAAAACGAAACCAUAUUAAUUUCCUAUAAAGAAUCUCCAAAUUAUCAAACAACCAGCAAACACAAACAUGAAUGCAUCAACAAACAAGGAAUCUGGGGAUGGUAGUGGUGGACAGAGGCAAAUGAAAAAGGUAGAGACAGUUGAUAUUUGUGAAUCAGCAGGGCAAAGGCAAGAGCCGGUCAGGCGCGUGCAGGUCGUGCACGAGGUGCAUCCCCAACCGGCCCAAGCCUCAAAGACAAGCGGCGGCAUUUUGUCAAAUGCUGCCGCCUCUGUCGCUUCUACUCUCGAGUCGGCCAAGGAUACUCUCAAGAGAAAAUAGAUCAAAUUUGUGAAUUUAUUAUGUUUCAUCAUUCAUGAUAGUACAUCAUUUUUCAUUGCAGAUGACAAUGAUUUUGUAAGGCAACAUUAUGUAUAGUAUUUGUUCAUGUGAAAAUUGAAAAUUGGGUGAAAUAGGAAGAGUUAAUAGUACCCAUGAUUGAGGUAGUGUUGUCACAAUU